rnacentral:rRNA from 1 species
GACGAACGCUGGCGGCGUGCUUAACACAUGCAAGUCGAACGGUAAGGCCCUUCGGGGUACACGAGUGGCGAACGGGUGAGUAACACGUGGGUGAUCUGCCCUGCACUUCGGGAUAAGCCUGGGAAACUGGGUCUAAUACCGGAUAGGACUCCUGGCUUCAUGGUUGGGGGUGGAAAGCUUGUGCGGGGUGGGAUGGGGCCGGGGCCUAUGAGAGUGUAGGUGGGGUAAUGGCCUACCAAGGCGACGACGGGUAGCCGGCCUGCGAGGGUGACCGGUCACACUGGGACUGAGAUACGGCCCAGACUCCUACGGGAGGCAGCAGUGGGGGAUAUUGCACAAUGGGCGCAAGCCUGAUGCAGCGACGCCGCGUGAGGGAUGACGGCCUUCGGGUUGUAAACCUCUUUCAGCUAUGACGAAGCGCAAGUGACGGUAGUAGCAGAAGAAGGACCGGCCAACUACGUGCCAGCCGCCGCGGUAA